AUUGAACGCUGGCGGCAUGCUUUAUACAUGCAAGUCGUGCGGCAGCGCGGGGGCAACCCUGGCGGCGAGCGGCGAACGGGUGAGUAAUACAUAGGAACGUAUCCUGAAAUGGGGGAUAGCUCGGCGAAAGCCGGAUUAAUACCGCAUACGCUCCACGGAGGAAAGCAGGGGAUCGCAAGACCUUGCGUUUCUGGAGCGGCCUAUGUCUGAUUAGCUAGNGGCGGGGUAAUAGCCCACCAAGGCGACGAUCAGUAGCUGGUCUGAGAGGAUGAUCAGCCACACUGGGACUGAGACACGGCCCAGACUCCUACGGGAGGCAGCAGUAGGGAAUUUUGGACAAUGGGCGCAAGCCUGAUCCAGCCAUGCCGCGUGAGUGAAGAAGGCCUCGGUUG
rnacentral:rRNA from 1 species